rnacentral:rRNA from 1 species
AGAGUUUGAUCCUGGCUCAGGAUGAACGCUAGCGAUAGGCCUAACACAUGCAAGUCGAGGGGCAGCGAUGGUAGCAAUACCAGUCGGCGACCGGCGGAUGGGUGAGUAACACGUAUGCAACCUGCCUUCAACAUUGGAAUAACCCGUUGAAAGACGGACUAAUGCCUUAUAACACAGGGGCGCCGCAUGGCGAUAUUUGUUAAAGAUUUUAUCGGUUGAAGAUGGGCAUGCGCAUGAUUAGUUAGUUGGUAAGGUAACGGCUUACCAAGACAACGAUCAUUAGGGGUUCUGAGAGGAAGGUCCCCCACACUGGUACUGAGACACGGACCAGACUCCUACGGGAGGCAGCAGUGAGGAAUAUUGGUCAAUGAGCGAGAGCUUGAACCAGCCACGUCGCGUGCAGGAAGAAUGUCUUAUGGAUUGUAAACUGCUUUUUCGGUAGAGUAAUGUGCGUCACGUGUGACGUAUUGCAAGUAUACCGAGAAUAAGGAUCGGCUAACUCCGUGCCAGCAGCCGCGGUAAUACGGAGGAUCCGAGCGUUAUCCGGAUUUAUUGGGUUUAAAGGGUACGUAGGCGGGAUGAUAAGUCAGCGGUGAAAUUUUGCAGCUUAACUGUAAGCUUGCCGUUGAAACUAUUAUUCUUGAGUGUAGAUAAGGUAGGCGGAAUGUGUUGUGUAGCGGUGAAAUGCUUAGAUAUAACACAGAACACCAAUUGCGAAGGCAGCUUACCGGGUUACCACUGACGCUGAGGUACGACAGCGUGGGGAUCAAACAGGAUUAGAUACCCUGGUAGUCCACGCCGUAAACGAUGAAUACUCGCUGU